ACUCAAAUGAAUAGACGGGGGCCCGCACAAGCGGUGGAGCAUGUGGUUUAAUUCGACGCAACGCGAAGAACCUUACCUGGGCUCGAAAUGCUUUGGAAGGGGAGUGGAAACAUUCUCUGCCCCGCAAGGGGCCGGAGUAUAGGUGCUGCAUGGCUGUCGUCAGCUCGUGUCGUGAGAUGUUGGGUUAAGUCCCGCAACGAGCGCAACCCUUGUCCUGUGUUGCUAACCGAAAGGUGCACUCUCAGGAGACCGCCAGCGAUAAGCUGGAGGAAGGUGGGGAUGACGUCAAGUCAUCAUGGCCUUUAUGUCCAGGGCCACACACGUGCUACAAUGGGCGGUACAAAGCGCAGCGAACCCGUGAGGGGGAGCAAAUCGCAAAAAACCGUUCUCAGUUCGGAUUGCAGGCUGCAACUCGCCUGCAUGAAGCUGGAAUCGCUAGUAAUGGCGUAUCAGAACGACGCCGUGAAUACGUUCCCGGGCCUUGCACACACCGCCCGU
rnacentral:rRNA from 1 species